rnacentral:rRNA from 1 species
GAUGAACGCUAGCUACAGGCUUAACACAUGCAAGUCGAGGGGCAGCAUGAAAGGAACUUCGGUUCUUUUUGAUGGCGACCGGCGCACGGGUGCGUAACGCGUAUCGAACCUGCCUCAUACUCGGGGAUAGCCUUGCGAAAGUAAGAUUAAUACCCGGCGGUCUCGGAUGGCCGCAUGACUAUCCGAGUGAAGAUUUAUCGGUAUGAGAUGGCGAUGCGUCCCAUUAGCUUGUUGGUGAGGUAAUGGCUCACCAAGGCAUCGAUGGGUAGGGGUUCUGAGAGGAAGGCCCCCCACAUUGGAACUGAGACACGGUCCAAACUCCUACGGGAGGCAGCAGUGAGGAAUAUUGGUCAAUGGACGAAAGUCUGAACCAGCCAAGUAGCGUGCAGGAAGACGGCCCUCUGGGUUGUAAACUGCUUUUAGUUGGGAAUAAAAAGAGGGACGUGUCCCUUAUUGUAUGUACCAUCAGAAAAAGGACCGGCUAAUUCCGUGCCAGCAGCCGCGGUAAUACGGAAGGUCCAGGCGUUAUCCGGAUUUAUUGGGUUUAAAGGGAGCGCAGGCGGUGGCGUAAGUCAGUUGUGAAAUCGUGCGGCUUAACCGUGCAAUUGCAGUUGAUACUGCGUCGCUUGAGUGCACACAGGGAUGUUGGAAUUCAUGGUGUAGCGGUGAAAUGCUUAGAUAUCAUGAAGAACUCCGAUCGCGAAGGCAUAUGUCCGGAGUGCAACUGACGCUGAGGCUCGAAAGUGUGGGUAUCAAACAGG